rnacentral:rRNA from 1 species
CUACGGAGGGUGCAAGCGUUAUCCGGAUUUAUUGGGUUUAAAGGGUCCGUAGGCGGAUCUGUAAGUCAGUGGUGAAAUCUCACAGCUUAACUGUGAAACUGCCAUUGAUACUGCAGGUCUUGAGUGUUGUUGAAGUAGCUGGAAUAAGUAGUGUAGCGGUGAAAUGCAUAGAUAUUACUUAGAACACCAAUUGCGAAGGCAGGUUACUAAGCAACAACUGACGCUGAUGGACGAAAGCGUGGGGAGCGAACAGGAUUAGAUACCCUGGUAGUCCACGCCGUAAACGAUGCUAACUCGUUUUUGGGCUUUCGGGUUCAGAGACUAAGCGAAAGUGAUAAGUUAGCCACCUGGGGAGUACGAACGCAAGUUUGAA